AUUGAACGCUGGCGGCAGGCCUAACACAUGCAAGUCGAGCGGAUGACGGGAGCUUGCUCCUUGAUUCAGCGGCGGACGGGUGAGUAAUACCUAGGAAUCUGCCUGAUAGUGGGGGACAACGUUUCGAAAGGAACGCUAAUACCGCAUACGUCCUACGGGAGAAAGCAGGGGACCUUCGGGCCUUGCGCUAUCAGAUGAGCCUAGGUCGGAUUAGCUAGUUGGUGAGGUAAUGGCUCACCAAGGCGACGAUCCGUAACUGGUCUGAGAGGAUGAUCAGUCACACUGGAACUGGGACACGGUCCAGACUCCUACGGGAGGCAGCAGUGGGGAAUAUUGGACAAGGGGCGAAAGCCUGAUCCAGCCAUGCCGCGUGUGUGAAGAAGGUCUUCGGAUUGUAAAGCACUUUAAGUUGGGAGGAAGGGCAGUAAGCUAAUACCUUGCUGUUUUGACGUUACCGACAGAAUAAGCACCGGCUAACUCUGUGCCAGCAGCCGCCGUAACAC
rnacentral:rRNA from 1 species